UUUACUCUUUACUGUAAAUUGCUCUGGAUAAGAGCAUCUGCUAAAUGACUCAAA
rfam:Salmo salar isolate Sally breed double haploid chromosome ssa24, whole genome shotgun sequence.